rnacentral:rRNA from 1 species
CUCUUUUUGUUUAUAUAUAUAAAGUAUGACCUGCCCACUGGUUGAUUUGAAGGGCCGCGGUAACCUGACCGUGCAAAGGUAGCAUAAUCAUUAGUUUCUUAAUUAGAGGCUGGAAUGAAUGGUUGGACGAAAUAUUGGCUAUCUUGUUAUUUUUAUUAGAAUUUAAUUAUUAAGUAAAAAAGCUUAAAUAUUAUUAUGGGACGAUAAGACCCUAUAGAGUUUAAUAUUAUAAUUUUUAGAUUAGUUAUAUUUUGCAAUAUUAAUUAUAAUUUUUUGUUGGGGUGACAGGAAGAUAUAAAUAACUCUUUUUUAUUGAUAAAUAUUAAUUUAUAGAUUUUUGAUCCAUUAAUAAUGAUUAUAAGACUAAAUUACCUUAGGGAUAACAGCGUAAUCUUUUUUGAGAGUUCUUAUCAAUAAAAGGGGUUGCGA